rnacentral:lncRNA from 1 species
UGAGAUUUACAAUUUAUUGAAAGAACAACUGAAAAUCAAUUUAGGUUGCAUAUGUGUCAUGUGUGGAGAAAAACCCUCUAGCUAGUCCGUCAUUUAUCAUUUCACCUUAAUUUCAUGUUUUUGUCAAUUCUGUAAUUUAAUUAAGUUUAAUUUACUUUUCAUCAAAACCAAACACCCAUCCAUUAUUAAAUUAUAUUUUUUAGUUAGUUUUCUUUAUUGUUAGUCUUUUAAUUUAAUUUCCGUCCAUUUCAGUUCCUAGUGUUUAAUUUAAUUGUUUUCAUUAUUUUGAGUCAUUUUAAGUGUGUUUCGAGUUAUUAGAGUUUUUAGCCUAAUUUUGUGUCCUUGAGUCUUAUUUAAUAUUUUUAAAUUAAUUUAGAAUAGAUUAGCAAUCCCUCCUAAUCCCCGGCCUAGAACGAUACCCUACUUACAUCUAUACUACAAUUGUCAAAAAGAGGGUUUAAUUUGUGUGUUAACUUAUUUUUCACAUCAAAUUUUGGCGCCGUUGCCGGGGAUAUGAGAGAAGCAGCAAAACUGCAAGCUGCACAGAAAAAUAUAAGAGAUGGACAGCGCAGGGAGAGACUGGCGGGGAAGCACAGCAAUACAAAAGAAAAGCUCCAGAGAGCAAGGCAGCAAGAAAAUUAGAGGCUUCACUCCAUUUCUCUCGGUUAAAUCUUUCCAAACUUAUAUUUUAUUUCUGUUUUAAUAAUGUGUAACUAAUUUUAUUUUGGCUAGAGGUUAUUUCAAAACCAUGAAUAUAUUUGUAAUAUGAAUUGAUUACCUUCGGUUGUGAUUUCAUAAGUUGUGAAUUCAAUUUACUUAUCCGUUUGUAUAAAAACUGAUUUGUGUAUGUUGGUUGAGAGUGCACGCUUAAUUUACAUGCAUGAAUUUGAUGCUAGAAUAUAAGUGAAUUUCACCUAAUCGUUAUGAACUUAUAUUCACAAGUAGUAAAGGUUGCUAGUCACAAUCACGUUAAGUAAAUUCUUGGCAUAAGUUUCAUGCAAAUCAUAGUAACGAGUGCCUCGUCAAUGCUUAUGUUUUUCAUAGAACUUAAUGAUUCUUGCUUGUAUCUCUAUUAUGCAAUUCAUGUAGAGAACUUGUAGGGAAUGUUUUGGGUUGUCGUAUGCAAUCAUCCAACCCAAUAACUUGUGGAAAAAACUGAGGGUUAAUUAGUGCAAUUCACGGUUAAUUUGGGGCGUUGAGAUUUUACAAUUUUAUUGAAAGAACAACUGAAAAUCAAUUUAGGUUGCAUAUGUGUCAUGUGUGGAGAAAAACCCUCUAGCUAGUCCGUCAUUUAUCAUUUCACCUUAAUUUCAUGUUUUUGUCAAUUCUGUAAUUUAAUUAAGUUUAAUUUACUUUUCAUCAAAACCAAACACCCAUCCAUUAUUAAAUUAUAUUUUUUAGUUAGUUUUCUUUAUUGUUAGUCUUUUAAUUUAAUUUCCGUCCAUUUCAGUUCCUAGUGUUUAAUUUAAUUGUUUUCAUUAUUUUGAGUCAUUUUAAGUGUGUUUCGAGUUAUUAGAGUUUUUAGCCUAAUUUUGUGUCCUUGAGUCUUAUUUAAUAUUUUUAAAUUAAUUUAGAAUAGAUUAGCAAUCCCUCCUAAUCCCCGGCCUAGAACGAUACCCUACUUACAUCUAUACUACAAUUGUUCAAAAGAGGGUUUAAUUUUGUGUGUUAACUUAUUUUUCACAUCAAAUUUUGGCGCCGUUGCCGGGGAUAUGAGAGAAGCAGCAAAACUGCAAGCUGCACAGAAAAAUAUAAGAGAUGGACAGCGCAGGGAGAGACUGGCGGGGAAGCACAGCAAUACAAAAGAAAAGCUCCAGAGAGCAAGGCAGCAAGAAAAUUAGAGGCUUCACUCCAUUUCUCUCGGUUAAAUCUUUCCAAACUUAUAUUUUAUUUCUGUUUUAAUAAUGUGUAACUAAUUUUAUUUUGGCUAGAGGUUAUUUCAAAACCAUGAAUAUAUUUGUAAUAUGAAUUGAUUACCUUCGGUUGUGAUUUCAUAAGUUGUGAAUUCAAUUUACUUAUCCGUUUGUAUAAAAACUGAUUUGUGUAUGUUGGUUGAGAGUGCACGCUUAAUUUACAUGCAUGAAUUUGAUGCUAGAAUAUAAGUGAAUUUCACCUAAUCGUUAUGAACUUAUAUUCACAAGUAGUAAAGGUUGCUAGUCACAAUCACGUUAAGUAAAUUCUUGGCAUAAGUUUCAUGCAAAUCAUAGUAACGAGUGCCUCGUCAAUGCUUAUGUUUUUCAUAGAACUUAAUGAUUCUUGCUUGUAUCUCUAUUAUGCAAUUCAUGUAGAGAACUUGUAGGGAAUGUUUUGGGUUGUCGUAUGCAAUCAUCCAACCCAAUAACUUGUGGAAAAACUGAGGGUUAAUUAGUGCAAUUCACGGUUAAUUUGGGGCGUUGAGAUUUACAAUUUAUUGAAAGAACAACUGAAAAUCAAUUUAGGUUGCAUAGUGUCAUGUGUGGAGAAAAACCCUCUAGCUAGUCCGUCAUUUAUCAUUUCACCUUAAUUUCAUGUUUUUGUCAAUUCUGUAAUUUAAUUAAGUUUAAUUUACUUUUCAUCAAAACCAAACACCCAUCCAUUAUUAAAUUAUAUUUUUUAGUUAGUUUUCUUUAUUGUUAGUCUUUUAAUUUAAUUUCCGUCCAUUUCAGUUCC